UACGUAGGGCGCAAGCGUUAUCCGGAAUUAUUGGGCGUAAAGAGCUCGUAGGCGGUUUGUCGCGUCUGCCGUGAAAGUCCGGGGCUCAACUCCGGAUCUGCGGUGGGUACGGGCAGACUAGAGUGAUGUAGGGGAGACUGGAAUUCCUGGUGAGCGGUGAAAUGCGCAGAUAUCAGGAGGAACACCGAUGGCGAAGGCAGAUC
rnacentral:rRNA from 1 species